GUGGGGAAUAUUGCACAAUGGGCGCAAGCCUGAUGCAGCGACGCCGCGUGAGGGAUGACGGCCUUCGGGUUGUAAACCUCUUUCAGCUACGACGAAGCGCAAGUGACGGUAGUAGCAGAAGAAGCACCGGCCAACUACGUGCCAGCAGCCGCGGUAAUACGUAGGGUGCGAGCGUUGUCCGGAUUUACUGGGCGUAAAGAGCUCGUAGGCGGUUUGUCACGUCGUCUGUGAAAACCCGAGGCUUAACCUCGGGCCUGCAGGCGAUACGGGCAGACUUGAGUACUGUAGGGGAGACUGGAAUUCCUGGUGUAGCGGUGGAAUGCGCAGAUAUCAGGAGGAACACCGGUGGCGAAGGCGGGUCUCUGGGCAGUAACUGACGCUGAGGAGCGAAAGCGUGGGUAGCGAACAGGAUUAGAAACCCUAGUAGUCC
rnacentral:rRNA from 1 species